rnacentral:lncRNA from 1 species
GAUAUGGAUAGACAACUAUCUGAUCCGUAUCCGAAUAUCUGAAUCUAUAUAUAAUCCUAUAUAAUUUUAUAUAGUACUUAUUAAUUUUUAAGAAAAAUAUAUAACUAUAUAAAUAUAUUAUUAACUUAAUUUAUCAUCUAUUUAGUAAUAUCUUUGAUUUUGCCGUCAUAAAAUUUAAUUAUCUAAGUAAUAUUUAUAAUAAUAUCCAUGCUUUCAGUAUCCGAAUUGUAUGGCC